AGAACGAACGCUGGCGGCAGGCUUAACACAUGCAAGUCGAACGCCCCGCAAGGGGAGUGGCAGACGGGUGAGUAACGCGUGGGAAUCUACCCAGUUCUACGGAAUAACACAGGGAAACUUGUGCUAAUACCGUAUACGCCCUACGGGGGAAAGAUUUAUCGGGAUUGGAUGAGCCCGCGUUGGAUUAGCUAGUUGGUGGGGUAAUGGCCUACCAAGGCGACGAUCCAUAGCUGGUCUGAGAGGAUGAUCAGCCACACUGGGACUGAGACACGGCCCAGACUCCUACGGGAGGCAGCAGUGGGGAAUAUUGGACAAUGGGCGCAAGCCUGAUCCAGCCAUGCCGCGUGAGUGAUGAAGGCCUUAGGGUUGUAAAGCUCUUUCAGUGGGAAGAUAAUGACGGUACCCACAGAAGAAGCCCGGCUAACUUCGUGCCAGCAGCCGC
rnacentral:rRNA from 1 species